rnacentral:rRNA from 1 species
GGAUACGGCCAUACUGCGCAGAAAGCACCGCUUCCCAUCCGAACAGCGAAGUUUAGCUGCGCCAGGCGGUGUUAGUACUGGGGUGGGCGACCACCCGGGAAUCCACCGUGCCGUAUCCUCCU